rnacentral:misc_RNA from 1 species
GAAAUGCGAUACGCAAUGCGAAUUGCAGAAUUCCGCGAGUCAUCAGAUCUUUGAACGCAACUGGCGCCAAGGGGAUAUCCUCUUGGCAUGCUUGUUUCAGUGUCUAGAAACCUCACAUAUCUUAAUGUGAUUGAUACAAAUUUCCCUCAGGGGAAAAAUGUACCUCUCAUGAAAUAUGAUAAUGUGGAUCUCUGGGUCCAAUGAAGUAGUCACAUUUCACAAUGUGAUUUCAUUGGUCUAACCUAGUUAUCCGAAAACAUUAUUUAACAACAAACAAUCUUCAAUAUGCAUCUGAAAUCAAGCAAGGUCACCUGCUGAACUUAAGC